ACUCAGUGAAAUUGAACUCGCUGUGAAGAUGCAGUGUACCCGCGGCAAGACGGAAAGACCCCGUGAACCUUUACUAUAGCUUGACACUGAACAUUGAGCCUUGAUGUGUAGGAUAGGUGGGAGGCUUUGAAGUGUGGACGCCAGUCUGCAUGGAGCCGACCUUGAAAUACCACCCUUUAAUGUUUGAUGUUCUAACGUGGACCCGUGAUCCGGGUUGCGGACAGUGUCUGGUGGGUAGUUUGACUGGGGCGGUCUCCUCCUAAAGAGUAACGGAGGAGCACGAAGGUUGGCUAAUCCUGGUCGGACAUCAGGAGGUUAGUGCAAUGGCAUAAGCCAGCUUGACUGCGAGCGUGACGGCGCGAGCAGGUGCGAAAGCAGGUCAUAGUGAUCCGGUGGUUCUGAAUGGAAGGGCCAUCGCUCAACGGAUAAAAGGUACUCCGGGGAUAACAGGCUGAUACCGCCCAAGAGUUCAUAUCGACGGCGGUGUUUGGCACCUCGAUGUCGGCUCAUCACAUCCUGGGGCUGAAGUAGGUCCCAAGGGUAUGGCUGUUCGCCAUUUAAAGUGGUACGCGAGCUGGGUUUAGAACGUCGUGAGACAGUUCGGUCCCUAUCUGCCGUGGGCGCUGGAGAACUGAGGGGGGCUGCUCCUAGUACGAGAGGACCGGAGUGGACGCAUCACUGGUGUUCGGGUUGUCAUGCCAAUGGCACUGCCCGGUAGCUAAAUGCGGAAGAGAUAAGUGCUGAAAGCAUCUAAGCACGAAACUUGCCCCGAG
rnacentral:rRNA from 1 species